GAGAAGAAAAAUGAAAAAUGUGCCGUUUUACACAAAAAUUUGUCAAACCAAAGGCAUAUAAAAAUCGGAAAGUGAAAAUAUAAAAUCUUAUAUAGUCGCGUGCAAAGGUUAAAUUAAAUUGACUUUUUUCUUUUUUUAAAAUUACUUGGAUUGUAAAGUAAAUAAACUGAUAUAAAACGAAAGAAAACAAAAUUGCAUUUUUUGUAACCUACUUUUCGGGUUGUUCUUGGUUAAGUGUAAAAAUUGCCUUUGGGAGGAAAUAAACCAUCAAUUAAUUGUCAUAAUGUUCGUGAAAGGAAAUGUUAUAAAAAUAAAAUCUAAUUUUUUUUUUUUAUGAAAAAACUUAAUUUAAAAAAUUGUAAUGUACUUUUAAGAGGCAACUAACUAUAUGUUCUAAUAGCUGUAAAUGACAGAGCAAGCGAUAGGAUGCAUUUUCUUUUUCUUCUAUUCAAUUAAAAUUGCUUCUCAAAUUGAAGUUUAGAAACUUUAAAAAGGUAAAACUUUCCUCUACUAACAGUAUCGAUUCCAUAUAAAUGCCUGUGCAAGUGUAUGCAUGCUUUAGCAAAAUUGGAAUUGAAGUGGAACAACGAGUAAUUAAAGUUUACUUAGAAGACUUGUAAUUAGAUUCCGGUGCAAAGAGUAAAUGAAAUGAAGAAAAAACAUUUUUGUUUGACUUACCGAAGAUUGGGCAAACCUGCCAAUGUCUCCAAUGUAUAAGCAAAAAGGAAGAAAAAGAAAAGAUAACUGUUUCCUGUUCGACUUUUGCAAAGCAAAAGAAGCUAAACGAAAUCGAUAAUCAGAAAAAGAUGGAUUGAUGAUUUAAAAGAAUUUUAAAUAAACACGUUCUGAACUAAAAAAAAA